CUGGGCCAAAAAUGCCAGGGCCGAUUUUUUGUCCCAGUCCAGCCCUGGUGGCGAUGGUAUCACUCUCUCCUCUAUGAGUCACACUGAGACAGAUCAUGUUUACUUGCAGGUGAAAGUGAAAGUGCCAGUUGUAUAUAAAUUGCUCUUCAUAAUCCCUCAACUCACAUUCUGCCUUUGACUCUCCUCCAGUACAACAGCAGCAAGAUGGGGAGUUUCUGGAAAUGGUUAUUCGGCGGAAGCUCCAGCUCUCCUCCCCCUCCACCCUCUCCUCUUUUCAGUGAACCUUGGAGGACAAUAAGCUGGGC